CCAAUUAAUUUAACUUGGGAGUCAGAACAUGGGUGAUAAGGUCCGUGUUCGAAAGGGAAACAGCCCAGACCACCAGCUAAGGUCCCAAAAUAUAUGUUAAGUGGAAAAGGAUGUGGCGUUGCCCAGACAACUAGGAUGUUGGCUUAGAAGCAGCCAUCAUUUAAAGAGUGCGUAAUAGCUCACUAGUCGAGUGACACUGCGCCGAAAAUGUACCGGGGCUAAACAUAUUACCGAAGCUGUGGAUUGUCCUUUGGACAAUGGUAGGAGAGCGUUCUAAGGGCGUUGAAGCAUGAUCGUAAGGACAUGUGG
rnacentral:rRNA from 1 species